rnacentral:rRNA from 1 species
GAUGAACGCUGGCGGCGUGCCUAACACAUGCAAGUCGAGCGAUUCUCUUCGGAGAAGAGCGGCGGACGGGUGAGUAACGCGUGGGUAACCUGCCCUGUACACACGGAUAACAUACCGAAAGGUAUGCUAAUACGAGAUAAUAUACUUUUAUCGCAUGGUAGAAGUAUCAAAGCUUAUGCGGUACAGGAUGGACCCGCGUCUGAUUAGCUAGUUGGUAAGGUAACGGCUUACCAAGGCGACGAUCAGUAGCCGACCUGAGAGGGUGAUCGGCCACAUUGGAACUGAGACACGGUCCAAACUCCUACGGGAGGCAGCAGUGGGGAAUAUUGCACAAUGGGCGAAAGCCUGAUGCAGCAACGCCGCGUGAGCGAUGAAGGCCUUAGGGUCGUAAAGCUCUGUCCUCAAGGAAGAUAAUGACGGUACUUGAGGAGGAAGCCCCGGCUAACUACGUGCCAGCCGCCGCGGUAAGAC